ACUGGGAUAACCCUGGGAAACUGGGGAUAAUACCGGAUAGGCAAUUCUUCCUGGAAUGGUUUUUUGUUUAAAUGUUUUUUCGCCUAAGGAUGGGUCUGCGGCCGAUUAGGUAGUUGGUUAGGUAACGGCUUACCAAGCCAUUGAUCGGUACGGGUUGUGAGAGCAAGAGCCCGGAGAUGGAACCUGAGACAAGGUUCCAGGCCCUACGGGGUGCAGCAGGCGCGAAACCUCCGCAAUGUGAGAAAUCGCGACGGGGGGAUUCCAAGUGCCAUUCUUAACGGGAUGGCUUUUCAUUAGUGUAAAGAGCUUUUGGAAUAAGGGCUGGGCAAGACCGGUGCCAGCCGCCGCGGUAACACCGGCAGCUCUAGUGGUAGCAGUUUUUAUUGGGCCUAAAGCGUCCGUAGCCGGUUUAAUAAGUCUCUGGUGAAAUCCUGUAGCUUAACUGUGGGAAUUGCUGGAGAUACUAUUAGACUUGAGACCGGGAGAGGUUAGAGGUACUCCCAGGGUAGAGGUGAAAUUCUGUAAUCCUGGGAGGACCGCCUGUUGCGAAGGCGUCUAACUGGAACGGUUCUGACGGUGAGGGACGAAAGUUAGGGGCGCGAACCGGAUUAGAUACCCGGGUAGUCCUAACUGUAAACGAUGCGGACUUGGUGUUGGGGUGGCUUUGAGCUGCUCCAGUGCCGAAGGGAAGCUGUUAAGUCCGCCGCCUGGGAAGUACGGUCGCAAGACUGAAACUUAA
rnacentral:rRNA from 1 species